GCCGCACACGUCAGCAUGGUGGUAUCUGCGGACCCUUGGUCCAUAGAGCGGUGAACUCUCUAGAAAUCAAGGAGAAAUUGCGCCCCCAGCGGCGGCAGAGAACAAACAUCAGUUCAUAACCACCAAGGAGAAAUGUCUUGUAUCUCAACUGGCCUACUUUCUGGCCAAGGGGCAGAACACUUACAACUAUGAAGAGUGCAAAGACCUCCUAAAAUCUAUGCUGCAGGAUGAGCUUCAGUUCAAGGAGGAGAAGCUUGCAGAGCAGCUCGGCCAAGUUGAGGAGCUGAGGCGAUAUAAAGUCCUGGUUCAUCUCAGGAGCGAGAGCUGAGCCUGUUAAGGGAGAAGUUGCGGGAAGGGAGAGAUGCCUCCCGUGCAUUGAAUCAGCAUCUCCAGGCCCUCCUCACUCCGGAUGAGCCGCUCAAAUCUCAGGGGCGGGACCUCCGAGAUCAGCUGGCCGAGGGCUUUAGGCUGGCACAGCACCUCAUCCAAAAGCUUACCCCAGAAAAUGGUGAAGAUGAGGAUGAAGAUGUUAAAGUUGAGGAGGCUGAGAAAGUACGGGAAUCAUGUGCCCCCAGGGAGGUGCGGAAGGCGAGAAAAGGAAGUCCCUGAGGACUCAGUGGAGGACUGUGCCGGCACUUCUUCAAAUAGCUGUGGCCCUCUGAGUCCAACCAGCCUCACAGAACUGCAGAGUCACAUUUGAGGAAGACCAAGUGGACUCGACUUGCUUGUAGACCGUGAAUCGUCUCCCGAUGGAGGCAGGAUGCUCUAAACCUGUCCCAGGUAGCCUCUCUCUUCGCCACAAACGUCGCAUGGUGGUAUCUGCGGGCCCUUGCCCCAGGAGAAGUCAGGAUGAACACUCUAGAAAUCAAGGAGAAAUUGCGCCCCCCCGCGGGCAGAGAACAAACAUCAGUUCAUAAACACCAAGGAGAUUUCUUGUAACUCAACUGGCCUACUUUCUGGCCAGGGGCAGAAACACUUACAACUAUGAAGAGUGCAAAGACCUCCUAAAAUCUAUGCUGCAGGAUGAGCUUCAGUUCAAGGAGGAGAAGCUUGCAGAGCCGCUCGGCGCAAGCUGAGGAGCUCAGGCAAUAUAAAGUCCUGGUUCACUCUCAGGAACGAGAGCUGAGCCAGUUAAGGGAGAAGUUGCGGGAAGGGAGAGAUGCCUCCCGCGCAUUGAAUCAGCAUCUCCAGGCCCUCCUCACUCCGGAUGAGCCGGCCAACUCCCAGGGGCGGGACCUCCGAGAACAGCUGGCCGAGGGCUGUAGGCUGGCACAGCACCUCGUCCGAAAGCUCACCUCAGAAAAUGAUGAAGCUGAGGAUGAAGAUGUUAACGUUGAGGACACUGAGGAGGUGCGGAAGGCAGAAGAAAAGGAAGUCCCUGAGGACUCAGUGGAGGACUGUGCCGUCACUUCUUCAAAUACCUAUGGCCCUUCUGAGUCCAACCAGCCUCACAAGAACUGCAAAGUCACAUUUGAGGAAGACCAAGUGGACUCGACUCUGCUUAUAGACCGUGAAUCGUCUCCUGAUGGACGCCAGGAUGCUCUAAACCCUGUCCCAGUCCCUGGCUCCAGCUCUUCCGCCACAAACGUCAGCAUGGUGGUAUCUGCGGGCCCUUGCCCCAGUGAGAAGUCAGAGAGGAACACUCUAGAAAUCAAGGAGAAAUUGCGCCCCCAGCGGGCAGAGAACAAACAUCAGUUCAUAAACACCAAGGAGAAAUUUCUUGUAACUCAACUGGCCUACUUUCUGGCCAAGGGGCAGAACACUUACAACUAUGAAGAGUGCAAAGACCUCCUAAAAUCUAUGCUGCGGGAUGAGCUUCAGUUCAAGGAGGAGAAGCUUGCAGAGCAGCUCGGGCAAGCUGAGGAGCUCAGGCAAUAUAAAGUCCUGGUUCGCUCUCAGGAACGAGAGCUGAGCCUGUUAAGGGAGAAGUUGCGGGAAGGGAGAGAUGCCUCCCGUGCAUUGAAUCAGCAUCUCCAGGCCCUCCUCACUCCGGAUGAGCCGGCCAACUACCAGGGGCGGGACCUCCGAGAACGGCUGGCCGAGGGCUGUAGGCUGGCACAGCACCUUGUCCGAAAGCUCACCCCAGAAAAUGAUGAAGCUGAGGAUGAAGAUGUUAAAGUUGAGGAGACUGAGAAAGUACAGGAACCAUGUGCCCCCAGGGAGGUGCAGAAGGCUGAAGAGAAGGAAGAAUCUGAGGACUCACUGGACGAAUAUGCCAUCGCUUGUUCAAAUAGCCACGGUCCUUGUGAGUCCAACCAGCCUCACAGCAACACCAAAAUCACAUUUGAGGAAGACCAAGUCAACUCACGUCUCAUUGACUCGUCCUCUCCUGAUGAAUGGGAGGAUGCUGUAUCCAUUAUCCCAGGACACUGGUGUGAUGAAGUGAAAAAGGAGGACCAAGAGGCCACAGGUCCCAGGCUCAACAGGGAACUACUGGAUGAGAAAGAGCCUGAAGCCUUGCAGGACUCACUGGAUAGAUUUUAUUCAACUCCUUGCGGGUAUCUUGAACUGCCUGACUUAUGCCAGCCCUACAGAAAUGCGUUUUCCUCGUUGGAAGAACAGCACUUUGGCUUGGCUCUUGACAUGGACAGAAUUACAAAGGACCAAGAAGAGGAAGAAGACCAAGGCCCACCAUGCCCCAGACUCAGCAGAGAGCUGCUGGAGGUAGUAGAGCCUGAAGUCUUGCAGGACUCACUGGAUAGAUGUUGCUCGACUCCUUACAGUUACCUUGAGCUUCCCGAUUCAUCCCAUCCCCAGGGAAGUUCCUUUUACUCAUUGGAGGAACAACACGUUGGCUUUUCUCUUGGCGUGGAUGAAACUGCAAAGUACCAAGAAGGGGAAGAAGAUCGAAACCCACCAUGCCCCAGGCUCAACGAGGUGCUGAUGGAAGCAGGAGAGCCUGAAGUCUUGCAGGACUCACUGAGUGGAUGUUAUUCGACUCCUUCAAGUUACUUUCAACUACCUGACUCAUUCCAGCACUACACAAGUGCUUUUUACUCACUUGAGGAACAGCACGUCAGCUUGGCCCUUGACGUGGACAAUGGGUUUUCUAAUUUGACGGUGAUAAGGUUCCACCUGGGCUUCCAGAUGGGAGUCAUAUUCCCACACUAAGCAGCCCUUACUAAGCUGAGAGAUGUCAUUGCCGCAGGCAGGACUUACACGCACAUGUAGGUUUAAAUGAAACUGUAGUUCCGUUUGGAAUCCCAGACAUAGGAUAGGAAAGUGGGCAGAACUCUAUUCCAUUCUCAGACCAUGCAGUGGCAACCUGUGCUCAGUCUGAAGACACUGGACCCAAGUUAGGUGUGCCACGUUCACAGAACUCUGCAGCACAUGCCGGGAGUGGUCUGUCAGAUACUCUAAUUUGAACCAGGUAUCUCUGGGUAGCUACAAAGUUCCUCAGGGAUUUCAUUUUACGGGCAUGUCUCUGAGCUUCUAUGCCUGCUCAAGGUCAGUGUCAUCUUUGUGUUUAACUCAUCCAAAGGUGUUACCCUGGUUUCAAUGAACCUCCCCCCAUUCUUUGUAUCUUCAGUGUUGGUUUGUUUUAGCUGAUCCAUCUGUAACACAGGAGGGAUCCUUGGCUGAGGAUUGUAUUUCAGAACCACUGACUGCUCUUGACAAUUGUUAACCCACUAGGCUCCUUUGGUUAGAGAAGCCACAGUCCUUCAGCCUCCAAUUGCUAUCAAUCGUAGGAAGAGACCACAGCUAGAUGGACAAACAGCGUGGAGAGCCCUUAGCCCUGCUCCUCUCAAUUCCGUCCUGUAAAGAACAGGAGCCAGG